CUGGCCCUGAAUCAAGACCGGCAGCUUCCUGAUGCUGUUGGUUUCAAACAGGAGCCUAAAGAGAUGUAUUUCUACGGUCUGUUGGCCAUUUCAGAACUUGGGUAGUGAAAUGGUCAAUUCAUUUUUCUAGAAACAGCU
ensembl:snoRNA